rnacentral:antisense_RNA from 10 species
UUUUAUGCCUGGGCGUAGUGGGAGUCCGCAAGGACUGCCGGGUUCCGUGGAUACCGGUUGGCUAACCUGCUACUGCCCAGGCACCCGU